CGCCUGCCACAACGCCCAGUUAAUUUUUUGUAUUUUUAGUAGUUUGGCUGGCUAGGGAAUGGGUAAUGCUGACUGGCUAAGGAUGUAAUCAUAGGAGUUUGGAAAAUGGUCCUUGCGCACUGAGUCUGCUUCUGGGUGGGGGCCACAGGACCAGCUGCGUCAAGAGUCAUGGAUCAGUGUGGGGCCGCCCAGUCCUCAGAAAUGCCAAAGACUGAAAAGACAUCUCAAAAGGCCAAUCUUAGGGUACACAAUGGUGAUGUUAUCUGCAGGAGUAAUUGGGGAAGUUCCAAAUUUUGUGACCCCUGGAAUAAAGGCUGAUCAUCCUUUAGGCCUACAUCUUAACAGAAUUUAGGCUCCUCUCAUCCUCCUUAGCUUUACAAGGGCUGUUUAGUUUUUAAGAAGGGCUGUUAUUAUUUAAACUAUAAACUAAAUAUCUCCCAAUGUUAGCUUGGCCCAAGCCCAGGAAUGACCAUGGAGAGUUCAGAGGUCAAAGGUAAGAUGGAAGUUGAUUAGAUCAGGUCUUUUUCACUGUCAUAAUUUUCUCAUUGUUAUAAUUUUUGCAAAGGUGGCUUCAAAACCACUUCUAUCUAUCCAGUUGCUACUGAUUAUUCAAACACAGCAAAGUCUGAGAUGAUAUUCACCCAAUAUAAAUAACAUUUAUCUCUCUGUGGUAAAAUCUGUGGUGAUGUUUAUUUUACUCUGUA
rnacentral:lncRNA from 10 species